GGGCGCUUGGUUUAGUGGUAUAAUGUUCGCUUUGCAUUCUGAGGAGUUUGACCAGAAUCUUCUAGUUCUAAUUCAUGAAUACAUUGUUGCGAAAGGUCGCUGGUUCGAUUCCUGCAGUGUCCA